AACCCUAGCCCAGCCCAUCAUCUUCCUCAUUCGACCAGCCAACCCAGAAACCCCCAAACCAGAGAACCCCAAACCCUCUCCGCCAACCACCACGAAAAACCACCCCCAUUUCACCAUUUUUUCACCAUUUUAGCUCAUUUUUGUUUCUAAAUCUUCUAUUUUUCAUACCUAAAACUAUAUACCUGAAAAGAUCACAUUUUCCCUCAUUUUUUAGGGUAAACCGAAGGUAGAGGUAGUGGUGGUGGUGGUUAUACCUCCGGCCACCGUUUUUAGUGGAGAAAACAUUGUAUUUCAACGUCUAUUAAGGUUGUGAGGUCAAUUUGCAAGGAUCUGACUUAUUUGGUAUUGAUCGGUUUCUAGUUAGCUCGAGGAUUUUAUCGGAAGUGACUUUAUCGGAAGACAAGUACAUAAUUUUUGGUAUAAGGU